ACCGAGCACUACUGUAAGUCACUCUGGAUAAGAGUGUCUGCUAAAUGACUAAAA
rfam:Salmo salar isolate Sally breed double haploid chromosome ssa22, whole genome shotgun sequence.